UCCUAAUAAGGAGUCUCCCUCUGACAGCUUUGAAGUCCAACGUCUCUGGGAAACAGACAACAGUUCUCACAAUUUGGAUUAAGAUCAUUCAAGAAAUUUGACUUCAUGAAUCCUUUGUCAUCUGACAAGUGUCUCCACAUCCAUUUGCUAUCCUCCCGUGAGAGUGUUCAGUGUCCUUCACCAAGAGUUCAGGAAAAGGGAGUCAUCUGCUAGUGUCAGGUUUCCAACCUACCCAUCUGGCGAAUCUGCAGAGACGCUUGAAAAGAUGAGAGAAACCCUUCUUUUAGAAAUAAGAAAAAAGAACAAUGAGGGCACAGUGGUAGCAAUGAUGGACAAGACCUUUGCACACAGAAGACAAGAAGUUAUUCGUGAUGCACCCUUGAUUGCUGAUUUCAAAACCAGAUGGCCGGCUGUCUUCUGUGUACGUGAGAGGAUUACAACCAUCAGUUUGCUGUCAAAGUUCUUCUCGAUGGUGGAUGCUCACUCUUCAAACCUGCUGAAGGUGCUUGGCAAGAAAGGC